UUGGUCGUGGGUCAGUCGGUCCUAAGCUUGUGACGAAACAUGCGGUGAAUGUGUAUAAUGCUGUGUUAUCAUUGUAAGCGAAAGGGAAUCAGGCUAAUAUUCCUGAACCCGCGCACCGGGAGUUCAGUCGUCCCAGACGACGAUCGUGGCAACACAAGUUUGCUCAAAAACACCAAGGAAUAGGCUGAGAAGAGUUAUCUUUUCUUUUUAAGUCACUUAGCCAUACCCAUGGAAUGAAGUAGAUUUGAGAUAUGGGUAAGGGUGGCAUAAAGCUGCUUGUUUUAGAGCAGGUCAGUUGAUUUUCUUGGUCCUUGAAAAUUUGAGCAAAGUUCUAAUCUUGGUGGCGGACCGUACUAGUAUCCGCAGCAGGUCUCCAAGGU
rnacentral:rRNA from 1 species